GCUUAACCGAGUAGGGGAGGCGUAGGGAAACCGAGUCCGAAUAGGGCGCAUAGUUGCUGGGCGUAGACCCGAAACCAAGUGAUCUAUCCAUGGCCAGGUUGAAGGUGCCGUAACAGGUACUGGAGGACCGAACCCACUAGUGUUGCAAAACUAGGGGAUGAGCUGUGGAUAGGGGUGAAAGGCUAAACAAACUUGGAAAUAGCUGGUUCUCUCCGAAAACUAUUUAGGUAGUGCCUCACGUAUCACUCUCGGGGGUAGAGCACUGUCAUGGCUAGGGGGUCAUCGCGACUUACCAAACCAUAGCAAACUCCGAAUACCGAGAAGUGCGAGCGUGGGAGACAGACAUCGGGUGCUAACGUCCGGUGUCAAGAGGGAAACAACCCAGACCGCCAGCUAAGGUCCCAAAUGACGUGCUAAGUGGUAAACGAAGUGGGAAGGCAUAGACAGCCAGGAUGUUGGCUUAGAAGCAGCCAUCAUUUAAAGAAGCGUAAUAGCUCACUGGUCGAGUCGUCCUGCGCGGAAGAUGUAACGGG
rnacentral:rRNA from 1 species